GGCUUGCAGGGGGAGCUCCCUUCAAUUCAACUGAGGUCGGUGCGUCGCUGUUACUCGCUGCUGACUCAUGCAUUCGCCUGACAUGCCCGCAACCAUCAUCAGAUCGUGAUCAGGACACGCCGAAAACAUGCCCGUGAUCACCUCCGCAACUCUCUGAUCUCGGCGAGGUUGAUCACAGAAUCCCCCGAGUUUGAGGCAUGGCAGCCGUGUGCAUGAUGCAGGAGCAGGUGCGGCUUCGGCUCUGAACUUCCCUUGGAUUGAAGGGAGCUCCCUUUCAGAUUCAC
rfam:Selaginella moellendorffii unplaced genomic scaffold SELMOscaffold_42, whole genome shotgun sequence.